GGUUCCAUAGUGUAGUGAUUAGCACAUCCGCUUUACGUGCAGAAGGUCCUGGGUUUGAUCCCCAGUGGAACCA